rnacentral:ncRNA from 18 species
GGCUGGUCAUGACAUCCACAAACUUGGACUGCUGCUCGCAAAUGAUACGGGUAAUGCGCAGCCUGUCCUCGUGGGUCAGCAGGUUGAGAUAGUUAUGCGCCAGUUCGUUACUGAGGAUGUUCGUACCGUCAUUGAUACGCAGGAUACAAAUUCCUACCGGUGCCGAAGCCACAAUUUUGCGGUUGAAUUGCUCGUUCUCUUCCAACUGGAACGCAUUCACUUCCGCUGGCAACAGCAUUUUCCGCUCAAACACCAGCGCCAGCACAAACAGCAAGAUAGCCGAUAGCAUAUUCAGCACUAGCAUAUUGAUCAUCAAGGCGCUGAUAUGGGAGAGCAGCACCUUUAACGGCAGCGAAUACACGAUACUGAAUGACGUCGGCGGCAGCGACUUCUUCAAAAUGAGUUCAUCAUAACCAUUCACAUAGCCGAAAUAGUUAUGAUCGGAGGGAUAGCCAUCUACCGACGAAGCGUAACGCCCUUUAUCAUCGG